rnacentral:rRNA from 1 species
UACGUAGGGGGCGAGCGUUGUCCGGAAUUACUGGGCGUAAAGCGUGCGCAGGCGGUUAUGUAAGACAGUUGUGAAAUCCCCGGGCUCAACCUGGGAACUGCAUCUGUGACUGCAUAGCUAGAGUACGGUAGAGGGGGAUGGAAUUCCGCGUGUAGCAGUGAAAUGCGUAGAUAUGCGGAGGAACACCGAUGGCGAAGGCAAUCCCCUGGACCUGUACUGACGCUCAUGCACGAAAGCGUGGGGAGCAAACAGG